UACGAAGGGGGGCUAGCGUUGCUCGGAAUGACUGGGCGUAAAGGGCGCGUAGGCGGCGGCCACAGUCAGAUGUGAAAGUCCAGGGCUCAACCCUGGAAUGCCGGUGGAUACUGUCGGGCUAGAGUUCGGAAGAGGCAAGUGGAAUUCCUGGUGUAGCGGUGGAAUGCGCAGAUAUCAGGAGGAACACCUAUAGCGAAGGCAGCUUGCUGGGACGACACUGACGCUAAGGCGCGAAAAGCGUGGGGAGCGAACAGG
rnacentral:rRNA from 1 species